UCCUGUUUUAGUGUCUCAAAAGCUAUUUUAGCUUCAGUUGUCCAUUUUAACACUGCUUUAAACAACUGGUUUCCUGCUUCUUUUAGGAGUUCUCUAAACGGUGCUGUUUUCCUGCAUAGUUUUCAAUCCAGUCUGCAUUGAAACCUGUCAUUCCCAACAAUGUCAUCAUUUCGCCGACUGUCCGUGGACUUGGAGCUUUGCUAAAACCUUCCAGUUGAGAAGGUGAAAUGCCAACUGUUCCUUGAGAGGUCCUUUUGUCUCUCCUCGGGCGGGGGAGAGAGGGAGAGGAGGGGCAACGCUCCGAGAGGAGGGAGUGAAAAACGUUGUGUGUGUAGCUAUCCUUGCCUGCGUAGAGCUGUAUGUGUGGUUCCUCUGCCUGAGGAGAACUUAGUGUGUGUGUGCAAGAUUUUCCUUCGGGCGGGGGGAGAGCUACUUGGCAGUCUUUAACUAACAGGCUAAAAAUAACUCAGCCUGCCAGUGGUUCUGCCCCACUGACAGGCAAAAAGGCAGACGGAGCCGUCUCCUUCCCCAAACAAAACAGUCUUUCAAAUACAAAGUUUAAAUACCUGCACCCACAUCUUAACAACAUAACAGCUUCAAAAAGUAUACACACCUUGGUCCACCAAGAUUUCCUUACAACAAUAAAAGUUUCCAAGCACUUUUUAGCUCAUCAACCUAGACAACUUUACCUCUAACAGUGUGACUUGAAUACAAAAAAACAAAAAACAAAA